rnacentral:rRNA from 1 species
UACGUAGGGGGCGAGCGUUGUCCGGAUUCAUUGGGCGUAAAGAGCUCGUAGGCGGCCCAGUAAGUCGGAUGUGAAAGCCCGAGGCUCAACCUCGGAACUGCAUCCGAUACUGCCGGGCUUGAGGCAGGCAGAGGAGAGUGGAAUUCCCGGUGUAGCGGUGAAAUGCGCAGAUAUCAGGAGGAACACCUAUGGCGAAGGCAGCUCGCUGGGACGGUACUGACGCUGAGGCGCGAAAGCGUGGGGAGCGAACAGGAUUAGAAACCCGUGUAGU